rnacentral:rRNA from 1 species
CUAGCGACUUCAGAGUUUGAUCCUGGCUCAGGACGAACGCUGGCGGCGUGCCUAACACAUGCAAGUCGAACGGGGUACUCCUUCGGGGGUACUUAGUGGCGAACGGGUGAGUAACGCGUGAGGAACCUGCCUCUCAGUGGGGGACAACGGUUGGAAACGACUGCUAAUACCGCAUAACGUAUUCGAAGGGCAUCCUUUGGAUACCAAAGAUUUAUUGCUGAGAGAUGGCCUCGCGUCUGAUUAGCUAGUUGGUGGGGUAACGGUCUACCAAAGCGACGAUCAGUAGCCGGACUGAGAGGUUGAACGGCCACAUUGGGACUGAGAUACGGCCCAG